rnacentral:misc_RNA from 1 species
UAAACGCUCCGUCAUGAUGAACGGGGACUAACAGGGCGACAUUACUAGGUGACCUCUGCGUUUACUGGAUGACCUCUACAAGAAGGAAAAAAAACCUCCAGCUUCAUAAACCUCUCUCAAGCUGUACUACUAUUAUCUGUGAUUUUGUCAUCAGUGAUGUCACUGAUGAUGUCAUCAUCAAUUUAUGAUGUAAAAGUGUUAUGGUGUAAAUUUGAUUUUAAUGUAAAAUGUAGAUAUUAGAUGUGUGCUGAUUUUUUAAUCUUAAAUGUAUGAACUGUGCUAUUUUGUUUGAUUUUUUUUUUUCAUCUGCAAGUGUAGAACCUAGUAUUUAAAUUAUUGAUAUCAUUUUCAUUGUUUAUGGUUCAGCAUUGGCUAUGGGUAUGACACCAUAUAUUUUUUUCUUUGUUAUACUAUGAUCUGAGUUAUAGAAUGUCCCAGGCAAUUUUUUGUUCAUUUGUUGAUAUUUUUCUGGUCCUCAUGACAUCUUUUUUUCCCUUGCUUUAGUAAAGUACAUGUACACAAAUGUACAUUUAGGUGAAACACAUGUUUAUUUUUUUUUGGGUUUAAUUUUGUUUUUCGCCACAAUUGUACUUGAAUAAAAAAGUAAUGCUAAUGGUAUCUUGACCUUGAAUGCGAAAGGUCUUAUUUGAACAUUAUUAUUUGUUCUGCAGUAUAAGUAAAUAUAUUUUUGGGACAGAAUGGAACUAUGUUCAAAUCACCAUUAAAUAUGAUUUAUUUUAGAAGUAAAAAUGAUUAUAAUGAUAAUUAAUAACCAAUGCAUCAGAAAAAGAAAGAAAUAUAAAAAACUGUCAAACGACUUGCAUAAUACUGAUGUUAAAGAAAGUUUUCUUCAGACAGAUAAACUGCCAUCAUUUGUGAUGGUGUCACUUUGUUUGAGAGAAUUACUUCGGAAAAUGAAAUCAUUUUUGCAUGUGUUGUCUUCACUGCCAUUCAUACAAUGUAAAUUGACCCCCACCCCCAUCUAUAUAGUUUUAUUGAUUCAAUACUCAGGUAAAGAGUUUUGAAAUAAAAAUAUUUUGUUUAAUUUUGUAAAUUAAGGUUAAUUUUACUAUUAUCGUUGUUCUUAUAAAAUACAAUAUGGGAAAUUUUCAAGGACGAAAUUCAAGUUGUACCAUGUCGGACAAAACAAAACCCAAAAACAUUUGCGAGUGAAAAAUAAAAAUUACUGAGUCAAGGAAAUACGUGUAAAUGGUUGUUCCUUAUUUUAAAAAUAUUAUUCAUGUAUUUAUGAUUUUUUUAAAAGAAAUGAUUGUACAUUCAGUCCAUAGUCAUGUUUAUUUAUCUGUGAAAGCGGGUCAUAUUUGUUAUUCUUAUGGUUGCAAUUCAGGCAAAAAUAAUUAAGUGACUUUAAAAGAAUUAAAACACUCUUAAAACAUUUUGGUUUAAUGGAUAUCUGUUUGAAUGUUGAACUCAAUGUUUUUUGACCGCCAUACAGUAAAAAAUAAAUACAUACAUUCUG